rnacentral:rRNA from 1 species
UCUUGCAUUAAUACCCUGAAGACCCAGAGCCCAUCUGAUCUUGGAAGCCAAGCAAAAUCAGCCCAAGUUAGUCCUUGAAUGGGAGACUGCCAAUGAAUACUUGGUGUUGUAGGCU